rnacentral:misc_RNA from 1 species
AAAGCCAUAAACUCAACUGGGUUUGUAUUGGGCAUCGCCUUCAGGCGUAGCCUAAAAGUCAUCGGUCUUAUGCGGACGAGUUCCAUUAGGACAGACCGUGCCUGGACCUUAAAUCUCUG